rnacentral:misc_RNA from 1 species
AGAGAAAUCACUAGCCAAAGCCGAAUCCGGGGACCAGCCGGAAGCUUUACGACUCAAAGUUCUAGCCGAGCAGAAAUACAACUCCGGCAAUCUCAAAUCAGCUCUCAAGUACGCCAAGCGAGCCCACAGUCUCCACCCCGACGUAGACGGCGUUUCUGAAAUGCUCACCGCUUUUAAAAUCCUCCAUACAGGCACCGUUCCGGCGGAAACCCCAGCUGCUCCCACCGCCGGAGAUGCAGCAACUACCACAACUUCAACUCUGCCUGACUACUAUAGAAUCCUGCAAAUAGAGCGAUUCUCACACAUCAAUACUAUCAAAAAGCAGUACAGGAAGCUGGCGUUAACUCUUCACCCUGAUAAGAAUCCUUUUGCGGCAUCUGAAGAGGCUUUUAAGCUUGUUGGCGAAGCGUUUAGGGUCUUGUCAGAUAAGAUUAGGAGGAAGGAAUAUGAUGUGAAGCUUAGAGUUGCUAUGCAGUCAGCUGUUUUGGCUGAGGAGGGUGAAACGACGACAUUUUGGACCGCGUGUUCGACUUGUCGAUUGUUGCAUCAGUUUGAAAAGAAGUAUUUAGGGCAUAAUUUGAUGUGCCCAAGUUGUAAAGAAACUUUUGAGGCAACUGAAGUUUCAGAAAAUGGUGACAAUGAAGAGGGAUGUAAAGGUUCGAUGGAAACAAGAGGGAGUGCCAGGACUAAGGCUAGGAAAAGUGUGAGCUUUGGUUCUUCAAGAAGUAGUGAGUUAGGGAGGAAGAGGAAUGUGGCGAGUGUUGCGGAGGUUAAUAAGAGGCCAAAUGGAAAAAUGACAAGAAAUGAUGAUGCAACUGGUGUUGGAACUGAGGUGGAUAUGGAAGGAGAUGUUGAGAGCGACGAUGGUUUGAUUAAGGAAUUGAAAUCAAAGACUAAUGGUAAGGUGAGAAGUGUAGGUGAAGGGGAAGAUACAAUGACAUUAGCUGAAAUGCAGUUGUUAGUGAAGAAGAAGGUGAAUAAGGAAAAGAUCCCAGUAAAAGAUAAGGGGGAAAUAAGUGAGAAAAGUAAGGAGAUGGAUUUGAUAGAAAAGGAAGAUGAUGUGGAGAUGGAGAUGCUGAUUGCAAGGGUGAGAGAGAAAAGGAUGAAGCGUGCGACAUUAAAGGGAGAUGGUACAGAAGAUGGAGGAAGAAGAAUGGAUUUAAGUAGCAACAGGG